AUGGAGGCCAUUGCGUUUGGUGCCUUCUUCAAUACCAUCUUGCCCAAGCUUCUGCAAAAGAUUAAAGACUCGAAGCGAGACAAGAUUUCCAUCAAUGCUAACAUUCAGGAUUUCACGAUUGAGGCUGAAGCGGUGCAAUCCCAACUUGAAGAUGGCUACUCCCAGUCCCAAUAUGAAGGUGCCCACAAAGCAAAGCUGAUGGGGAUCGACCGGCGACUCAAAGUCUUGUGUCAAGAUGCGCAUGACUGCAUACACCGGUUCCUGCGAAAGGGAUCGCCUCUGGAGAGCUGCGCGGAGUUUGCGGCCAAGAUCCAAGGAUUCAACGACAAUGUCCACAAGCUGCACGAUGAAGUCCGAGACCGCAUCGCUUCAUUAAAACAAGGGUCUGCCUCUGCCUCAGGUCAACCUUCUGCUCGCUAUGUUACCCCCGACAAGGUCGUGGGCAGGCUUGAACGCCUCGCUGAGCUGCAGGAGCUUGUGCACCUACCAGGCAGGGAAUCCAACGAGAAGGCGCCCAAGGUGAUAUCCAUCGUUGGCUUCGCUGGCGUAGGCAAGACUCUUCUUGCCAAUGAAUUCUAUUCCAGUGAAGAGGGCAAGAAAUUCCAUCAUCGGGCAUGGGUUACUGCAGCAGGCACUCACGAGGAGGUUGUCAAGAACAUACUCAUGGAAAUUGACCCUAAAGGCAACCAUGCUAAGGAUGCCCUGGACCUCCAGCGCCUCUGCCACAGCCUGCAGGAUUUUCUGAGGGGCAAAGAGUACUUAAUUGUAAUUGAUGACAUGAAGAGAGGGGAGUUGUGGAACAAAAUAAAAUAUGUCUUUGAGAAUGUGAAAGGCACGGUGUUUGUGACGACUAACAUUCAGGAAGUAGCUAAUAAUUGCAGCCAAUGCAUUAACGGUUAUGUGUACAAGCUGUCACCCCUUGAUGGGAAUGAGUCUGUAAACCUGUUCAAGAAAGAAUGUUUCUCUGGGGACCCUGAUUAUGCAGCAGAUGUUUUGAAGAAAUGCGAUGGUCUACCACUUGCUAUAGUCAACAUGGCCAAUUAUUUGCAGAGUGAGGGAGGGUGGACAAGCGAGGGAUGUAAAGCUGCUUGCAGGGAACUUGGUGCCCUACUGGUGCAAGAGGAUAAGUGCAAGUUGCCAGGAAUGCAAUGGGUCCUUAUGAAUAAAUAUACCGGUCUGCCUGGUUAUGCUAUCAGAUCCUGCUUGCUAUAUUUUUGCAUGUACAAGAAAAACAUUGCUGCACUCCCCAAGAGGAAUUCUCUGAUAAGGCGAUGGCAAGCUGAAGGAUUUGUUGAUGGAAAAACUGGAUGCAAAUAUUUGAAGACUCUCAUCAACCACAACAUCAUCCAGUCCAUGGAAGUAAACACAAACGGAACCACGAAGAGAUGCCGACCUCCUGGAAUGAUGGCCGAGUACAUAUCCCAGAUUUCCAUGUCUGAGAAUUUCGCUGCUUUGGUGUCUGAUCUAGUAGAGACGCGGAACAAUCGCAUCCGCCGGCUUUAUUUCGACGCUAACAGUGCUGAAGACGAGAGAAUAACUUCGGGCAUGGAUUUGAGUAUAGUCCUGACUCUGGUAAUUUCAGGAAUUGGAUCCGAAGCUAUUUUGAAUUUUGAAAAGUAUGAGCUAUUGGCAGUUUUGGAUCUGAAAGAAUGUACAAAUCUGGAUGAUAAUCAUGUCAAAUAUAUAUGCAAGCUGCUGUUGCUGAAAUAUUUGAACCUCGGGAAGACUAUAGGGAAGAUACCAAGGGACAUUGGGCAGUUGAAGCUAUUAGAGACGCUCGAGAUGAGGACAACAGAAACAGUGCAGGUGUAUAGAGAAGUCCUCCAGCUACCCAACUUGAAACACCUCAUUGGAAAGUUUGAGCUCAUCUACAAGCGACCGAUUGAGGUCGAAAUUUCCAAGGAUGAGCGCCUGAAGAAAUUCUUGUCAAAUAAGAGUGUCCUAGAGACGGUUACAGCAUACGUCAGCCAAACUGCCAAAGGAUUUCCGGAGGCAAUGCUUCAUAUGAGUCAGUUGAGGAAGGUAAAAAUAUUUUGCACCGACAGAGCAGAUGUCACGGAGAAGGAAGUUCUUACAACCGCAAUCAAGAAAUUCAUUCAUGGAGGCACCGAUAAUGUUAAUGGUGGCCAGAGUCAUUCCCUAUCGAUAGACUUUCAUAAAUGCACGUCCAUCAUUCAGGAAAUUCUAGCAGGUCCUGGUAGUCUUACUUCGCUCAAAUUGCGCGGCGACUGGAGACCAUUUCUGGGUGCCAAUCCAGAUUUUACAAAGAUAUCUGGUAUUACGAAGCUGUGUCUUUCAAGCACUUACCUGAGCGGAAAUGAAGCCCUUGCCGGUCUGACCGAUUUGAUUGCACUGGAAUAUCUCAAGCUGUAUGAACAAGACCUGGGGUCGCUCACGAUACAACCAGGAACUUUCCAAAGGCUGACUGGGUUAUGCCUCGUGGGCGACAAAAGCCUUUACCGCAUAACAAUCCAACCUGGAGCUCUGCCUCGUCUGGUCUCACUCCAUCUGAUCUGUGAAGUUAUAGAUAAGAGAGUCCAGCUUUUGAACGGAAGCCUCCAACGUCUACGGGAAAUAGCCCUCCACUCUGGAGUCACACCAGAAAUAAAAGAAGCCUGGAAAAAAGCUGCAAAGGUCCAUCCUAACAGGCCCGAUGUUUUCUUCAUUCAAAAGGCAUAA
rnacentral:rRNA from 1 species